UGGGGAAUAUUGGACAAUGGAGGCAACUCUGAUCCAGCAAUUCUGUGUGCACGAAGACGGUUUUCGGAUUGUAAAGUGCUUUCGGUGGGGAAGAAGCAAGUGACGGUACCCACAGAAGAAGCGACGGCUAAAUACGUGCCAGCAGCCGCGGUAAUACGUAUGUCGCGAGCGUUAUCCGGAAUUAUUGGGCGUAAAGGGCAUCUAGGCGGUUAAACAAGUCGAAGGUGAAAACUUGGGGCUCAACCCUAAGCUUGCCUACGAAACUGAUUAACUAGAGUACUGGAGAGGUGGGCGGAACUACACGAGUAGAGGUGGAAUUCGUAGAUAUGUGUAGGAAUGCCGAUGAUGAAGAUAGCUCACUGGACAGAUACUGACGCUGAAGUGCGAAAGCUAGGGGAGC
rnacentral:rRNA from 1 species